GAGAUUCCCCCAGUAGCGGCGAGCGAACGGGGAGCAGCCCAGAGUCUGAAUCAGCUUGUGUGUUAGUGGAACGGUCUGGAAAGUCCGACGAUACAGGGUGAUAGUCCCGUACACGAAAAUGCACAGGUUGUGAACUCGAAGAGUAGGGCGGGACACGUGGUAUCCUGUCUGAAUAUGGGGGGACCAUCCUCCAAGGCUAAAUACUCCUGACUGACCGA
rnacentral:rRNA from 1 species